rnacentral:rRNA from 1 species
AUUGAACGCUGGCGGUAUGCUUAACACAUGCAAGUCGAACGCGAACGUACCUUCGGGUGCUAUUAGAGUGGCGGACGGGUGAGUAACGCGUAGGAAUCUACCCAGUAGCGGGGGACAACCCGAGGAAACUCGGGCUAAUACCGCAUACGCCCUACGGGGGAAAGAGGGCCUCUUCUUGAAAGCUCUCACUAUUGGAUGAGCCUGCGUUGGAUUAGCUUGUUGGUGAGGUAAUGGCUCACCAAGGCGACGAUCCAUAGCUGGUCUGAGAGGACGAUCAGCCACACUGGGACUGAGACACGGCCCAGACUCCUACGGGAGGCAGCAGUGGGGAAUAUUGGACAAUGGGGGCAACCCUGAUCCAGCAAUACCGCGUGUGUGAAGAAGGCCUGAGGGUUGUAAAGCACUUUCAGUAGUGAGGAAAAGCUUGGUGUUAAUAACACCGGGUCUUGACGCUAUCUACAGAAGAAGCACCGGCUAAAUCAGUGCCAGCAGCCGCGGUAAUACUGAUGGUGCAAGCGUUAAUCGGAAUUACUGGGCGUAAAGCGCGCGUAGGCGGUUUGGUCAGUCAGAUGUGAAAGCCCCGGGCUUAACCUGGGAACUGCAUUUGAUACUGCCAGACUAGAAUGUGGUAGAGGUAAGUGGAAUUCCAGGUGUAGCGGUGAAAUGCGUAGAUAUCUGGAGGAACAUCAGUGGCGAAGGCGGCUUACUGGACCAACAUUGACGCUGAGGUGCGAAAGCGUGGGUAGCAAACAGGAUUAGAUACCCUGGUAGUCCACGCCGUAAACGAUGUCAACUAGCCGUUGGGUUCUUUAAGAACUUAGUGGCGUAGCUAACGCGAUAAGUUGACCGCCUGGGGAGUACGGCCGCAAGGUUAAAACUCAAAGGAAUUGACGGGGGCCCGCACAAGCGGUGGAGCAUGUGGUUUAAUUCGAUGAUACGCGAGGAACCUUACCUGGGCUUGACAUCUCGGGAAUUCUCUAGAAAUAGAGCAGUGCCUUCGGGAACCCGAUGACAGGUGUUGCAUGGUUGUCGUCAGCUCGUGCCUUGAGGUGUUCUGUUAAGUCAGUAAACGAGCGCAACCCUCAUCGUAUGUUGCUUAUUUCAUGCGAGACUGCCGACUCCAAGUCGGAGGAAGGCGAGGACGACGUCAAAUCAGCAUGGCCCUUAUGCCCUGGGCUACACACGUGCUACAAUGGCCGAUACAAAGGGUAGCCAAGCCGUAAGGCGGAGCCAAUCUCAUUCAAAAUCGGUCUAAGUUCGAGUUGGGGGCUGCAACUCGCCCCCAUGAAGCUGGAAUCGCUAGUAAUCGUGAAUCAGCAUGUCACGGUGAAUACGUUCCUAGGUCUUGUACUCACCGCCCGUCAAGUCAUGGAAGCUGGGGGUACCAGAAGUCCCACAACAAAGUGGGCCCCAGGUAAAACCAGUGACUAGGACUAAGUCG